rnacentral:rRNA from 1 species
UAGCNUUAAUUUAAAAGUAAAUCCUGCCCUAUGAUUAUUUAAAUGGCUGCAGUAUUCUGACUGUGCAAAGGUAGCGUAAUAAUUAGUCUUUUAAUUGAAGGCUUGUAUGAAUGGGUAAAUGAGAAAUUUUUUUUAUUAAUUUUAUUUUUGUAAUUUGAUUUUUAGGUAAAAAAGCUUAAUUUUUUUUUUGGGACGAUAAGACCCUAUAGAACUUUAAUUGUUUUAUUAAUUUAAUUUAUUUUAGUAUUUUAAUUAUUUUAUUUUUAAAAUUAUUUUUGUUGGGGUGACAAAUAAAUUUAACUUUAUUUUUAUUUUUCAUUAAUUUAUGUUUUAUUGAUCUUUUUUAACGAUUUUAAGAUUAAGUUACCUUAGGGAUAACAGCGUAAUUUUAAUGGGGAGUUCAUAUUUAUAUUAAAGUUUGCGACCUCGAUGUUGAAUUAAGAUAAGANUGGGGGGUAG